rnacentral:rRNA from 1 species
CCUACGGGCGGCAGCAGUGGGGAAUAUUGGACAAUGGGGGCAACCCUGAUCCAGCCAUGCCGCGUGUGUGAAGAAGGCCCUCGGGUUGUAAAGCACUUUCAGUGAGGAAGAACGCCUGGUGGUUAAUACCCAUCAGGAAAGACAUCACUCACAGAAGAAGCACCGGCUAACUCCGUGCCAGCAGCCGCGGUAAUACGGAGGGUGCGAGCGUUAAUCGGAAUUACUGGGCGUAAAGCGCGCGUAGGUGGCUUGAUAAGCCGGUUGUGAAAGCCCCGGGCUCAACCUGGGAACGGCAUCCGGAACUGUCAAGCUAGAGUGCAGGAGAGGAAGGUAGAAUUCCCGGUGUAGCGGUGAAAUGCGUAGAGAUCGGGAGGAAUACCAGUGGCGAAGGCGGCCUUCUGGACUGACACUGACACUGAGGUGCGAAAGUGUGGGUAGCAAACAGGAUUAGAUACCCUUGUAGUC